rnacentral:rRNA from 1 species
AUUGAACGCUGGCGGCACGCCUAACACAUGCAAGUCGAGCGGCAGCAUGCUUAGUAGCAAUACUAAGUGAUGGCGAGCGGCGGACGGGUGAGGAACACGUAGGAACCUGCCCAAGAGAGGGGGAUAACUAAGGGAAACUUUAGCUAAUACCGCAUAAUCUCUGAGGAGAAAAGUUGCCCGUAAGGGUAGCGCUUUUGGAGGGGCCUGCGUCCGAUUAGCUAGUUGGUGAGGUAAUAGCUCACCAAGGCGAUGAUCGGUAACUGGUCUGAGAGGACGACCAGUCACACUGGGACUGAGACACGGCCCAGACUCCUACGGGAGGCAGCAGUGGGGAAUCUUGGACAAUGGGGGCAACCCUGAUCCAGCGAUGCCGCGUGGGUGAAGAAGGCCUUCGGGUUGUAAAGCCCUUUAGGCGGGGAAGAAGAAUAUGGGAUGAAUAAUCCUGUAUUUUGACGGUACCCGCAGAAUAAGCACCGGCAAACUCUGUGCCAGCCGCCGCAGUAA